UCCCUGGUAGUCAAGUGGUUUAGGCUGUGUACUCGCAAUGCAGGGGACACGGGUUCAAUCCCUGGCCGAGGAA
rnacentral:tRNA from 1 species